UGGGGAAUAUUGCACAAUGGGCGCAAGCCUGAUGCAGCGACGUUGCGUGGAGGAUGAAGGUCUUCGGAUUGUAAACUCCUGUUAAGUGAGAAAAAAGCCUAUUCGCUAAUAUCGAAUGGGGAUGAUGUUAUCACUAGAGAAAGCACCGGCUAACUUCGUGCCAGCAGCCGCGGUAAUACGAAGGGUGCGAGCGUUAUUCGGAAUGACUGGGCGUAAAGGGUAUGUAGGCGGUAUUAUAAGUCAUCUGUAAAAUUCCUCAGCUUAACUGAGGGUAUGCGGGUGAAACUGUAGAACUGGAGUAUGGCAGAGAGGAGUGGAAUUCUCGGAGUAGCGGUAAAAUGCGUAGAUCUCGAGAGGAACACCGAAGGCGAAGGCAGCUCCUUGGGCCAAAACUGACGCU
rnacentral:rRNA from 1 species